rnacentral:rRNA from 1 species
CCCUUAGAUGUUCUGGGCCGCACGCGCGCUACACUGAUUCAUGCAACAAGUUUUGUCCUUGGCUGAUAGGCCUGGGUAAUCUUUGAACGUGAAUCGUGAUGGGGAUAGAUGAUUGCAAUUAUUCAUCUUCAACGAGGAAUUCCUAGUAAACGCAAGUCAUCAGCUUGCAUUGAUUACGUCUCUGCCCUUUGUACACACCGCCCGUCGCACCUACCGAUUGAAUGGUCCGGUGAAAUCUUCGGAUCUGAGAGAUGUCUGAUUAAUUUCGGACGCCUUUUGGAAAAGUUGUUUAAACCUUACCAUUUAGAGGAAGGUGAAGUCGUAACA